rnacentral:piRNA from 1 species
UGGCAAGACAAAAAUAGAC